rnacentral:rRNA from 1 species
GAUGAACGCUGGCGGCGUGCCUAAUACAUGCAAGUCGAGCGACCAGACGAGGAGCUUGCUCCCCUGACGUUAGCGGCGGACGGGUGAGUAACACGUGGAUAACCUACCUCUAUGACUGGGAUAAUUUCGGGAAACCGGAGCUAAUACCGGCUCAUAUAUUGAACCGCAUGGUUCAAUAGUUAAUGACGCCUUUGCUGUCUCUUAUAGAUGAUUCCGCGGCGCAUUAGCUAGUUGGUAAGGUAACGGCUUACCAAGGCGACGAUGCGUAGCCGACCUGAGAGGGUGAUCGGCCACACUGGAACUGAGACACGGUCCAGACUCCUACGGGAGGCAGCAGUAGGGAAUCUUGCGCAAUGGGCGAAAGCCUGACGGAGCAACGCCGCGUGAGUGAUGAAGGUCUUCGGAUCGUAAAGCUCUGUUGUUAGGGAAGAAAAAAUGUGGAAGUAAAUAUGCACGUUUUGACGGUACCUAAUCAAAAAGCCACGGCUAACUUCGUG